CAACAAACAGCUUAUGUAGAAAAGUUUAAAUUGAAAACAACGCACGAAGCUGUAACUCAAAUUGUGAUUAUCAGUUAAGUAAUUGGAAUGUUCAGUCAGACCUCAUCAUUGGUCCUAGAUUUAUUAAUUGAGAUUUCUCUUCCCCAAGGUUCUGCUUCAGCUGAUUGUUUUCCUUCCUUCACUUCAUUCUGUUCUCCACUAAGGUCUUUUGCCUCUAAGUACUCCUUAGGUGGUUUAGUUGAUAUCAUAACCUUUCUUUUCAAGGAUUCUGGCGAGGGAAACUCUCUUAGACCGUCUGAUCCAGGUACGAACAGCAUAUCUCCAAAUGUUUCAUUAAUCAUCUAAGAUUUUUUAGACAUUGCAAAUGUUAGCAGUAGAGCAAUGAAAGUACUAGUUACUCUCUGUCCAAAGUGCAAUUUUACACACCUCAGCUACUUUAGCUUGAAGAUGCCGAGGAAGAUGGUCUUCAAGUGUGAUAACAACAGGAUACUCGGAUGCAGAGAAUGCAUGCUCUUUAAUAGACCUCAAGCAUUUGAUGAGUUGCACAGGAGUUGUCAGCGUCCUGUAUAAGAAAGUAGAUAUCUUGGCUAAUUACAACUUCAUUUCCAACUUGGAACCAAUUAAUGUCCGACUCAAAAAGAAUCCAUACACAAAUUGAGUUAAUUUCUUCGAUGAAGAUCAGUACCUUCCAUGCAGGACAUCAACAUCAUCUUUUGUGGAAUUAGGCCAUAUAUCCAAUUCGAUUACUCUCACACCAUUCUGGAGUGCAUUUAUUAUAGGGACAUCGCUGCAGUCACUACUUAGCUGAUUCCCAGUCAAAUAAGAAUUAUGCCCGGUAUAUAUAUAGUAAUGAGACAAUGGAUCAUGCAUAUCAUGAUGAACCUGUUUUGUUUGAAACAAAAAACCCACCUCAUAAUCAUUUAAAAAAAAAAUCAACUCUGAUGCUUAGAAAUUGAUAUAAAUGGAGAAGAAAUGGAAUUACCCCGCGACGAGGAUCAAUAGGAGGAUUAAUAUCUCCAAAAAGAUACUUGAAAAAUUGCUCAAGAUUAAGACCGCUGCGAUGGAAAAUGUUGAGGUGUUUAGGCUCAUGAAGGCUAUUUAUGAUGGCUCCAGCAUCCUCCACCGUGGCAUUCUCUUGCUUUUGAACUUCAACCAAGAAACGAUGGAGGUUAUCAACGCUUAUGGUCCCGUUUUCGGAGUAGCGGUCGAAUAUGGACUUGAUUUCAGCCGGGGCCUCUGCAGAAGCCAGCUUGAACCUUCGCCGGCAACAAAAGCAUACUCUGUAGGUCUGUUUAGACAUGCGAUUGGAUUUUGGAUUUACGUCAACUAAAAGUGAAAGAAGAGAAGAGGAGUAGAGUUGAUUAUGGAUGUUGAGGAUUGAGGAUCUUAGGUGUUUUUUUUUAUCAAGGAUGGGAUUUGAGGAUAGCUUUGCUUGUGAAGAUGGGAAGGCAUUUCCGGAGAUUGGACCGGGCAAAGUUCACUGUCGAACUCGGAACCAAAUCCAACCAACCGAACUUUUUCCUACAGGGAAAAAAAAAAAAAGAAAAGAAAAGAAAAAGAUAACGAUUCUGGUUUGGGAAACCUUUCAAUCGUUGGAUUUUGUUUGUGGAUAAAGGUCGGGUUCUGGUAAGGUUGCAAUAUCCUGCAAUUCUGGAACGUCCCCAACCUUUACGCUUUACUUCUUAUUGGUCCAGCUCUGGUGGUGAGCUGUGAGGUCAUUGUUGAUUGUUUCUCCUUUUUGUCUCCAUGCAUACAGCUGGUUGCCCCGCUGGGCCGGCCACCAUUGGAUCAAAGAAAAUUGUGUCUAAUUCAGUCAAUCAAUCAAUGAGGCCCUCCACCUCAUUAUCGAGUGGAGGAGUGUCACCAAUGAACAACCCCAAUUAAAUCCCAUUACUUGCAAAGAUAAUCACAUUUCAUUUCACGUAUUUUUUUGUCAUCUAAGGAGUAAUAAUUAAAGAGUAAAUUUCAUAUGCACUAUAAGUAUACACACUAUCACGAAUAAAUGGAUGACACGUAAUCAAAUUUUACACAUGUAUUAUAUAUUUAAUAGUGAUAGUGUAUAUAAGAUUAAUUCAUGAUUAAAUCCCAUUACUUACAAAGAAUAUCAUAUUCACGUACCCCUUUUGUCAUCUAAAGAGUAAUAAUUAAACAUUAAAGAGCCUUUUUUUGGGAUAAUUUCAGAAACCGUCCCUAAUAUUUUUGACAAUUUCACUAAGCACCUCUAAGGUUUAGAAAAAGAAACUUAUUCAUCUCUAAGAUGUUUUGCUUGCAGGGAAUUGUCUCUAAUUAGUUGUUGCAAGAUACGAUAUUUGCGCAGUGAAGAAAUCUUCUGACUAUUUUGGCCUUUCAAUUAUGUUUAAAUUGUCUGCUCACUUCUCCUCUUUUUUUUUUAACUUAAAAUGCAACAAAAAAUUAAACUGACAAUAAGAUGAUAGAUAGUUAAAUGAAAAAAAAAAGGGGACAAUUUUCAUUCUUUGACUCUUUGAAUUAGAUAUGAAGCAGGAUAAAUUUGUGCCUCAACAGGAUGAUAUAAAUUUGUGGCGAACUGGUUAUAAAGUUACAACUCACUGAAAUUCGCAGAGAAUCCGGUUCCCUGGCAUUGCCACCCCACCAAUCAGAGAGCAAUGCCCUUUGUGUUUCGCUGAUGUCUACAAGAAAAUGUUUACUUGAACCAUUUUUUUUUCAAAAAAAAAAAAAGAAGUUGUAUCUUGUUACUGCAAUUGCAGCACUCCUCUGUACAAACGAUCUGGUCGCGCAAAUCCAACUCUACUACAACAUUAAGGAUGGAAAAGAAGCGCGUCGCGGGCGGGCUUGAAGGAUGCAGUAGGGUUCAUAUAAACUGGAACCGCAUCAGAAGCCUUACAGAUCUAAGUUUCUCUCCUUUCUUAUCGUAAAUUGGAACUGCUCGGAUCCCCGGUCUCAACUCCGAAACAGGCAAGCAUGUCUGUCCCCCAAAAUCAUCCUUCUCCGACAUGUCAUGCUCACGGAUUUCAAUCCGAAGCAAAGCUAACUCAGGAACUGUCAAUGGGAAUGUGAAAUCCUCAUCCCAUAUCGGUCCCCAGUCAUCCUCUAUUAUCCUCGUCUUUUUCUUGGCCUCAUCUGCAGGCACUCCUACCAUCUGAACCUGCAGUUCAUGAGGAAAUUAUCUUAGGCUCAACCUAUUGAACAAGAUUUAAUAUGUUAAGGAGGAAACAAAACAGAAGAAAUAGAUGAACGCGUCAACAGAAGCAGCAGAUUGCAACAAUAUAUCAGUUCAGCCACUCAUUACAUGGGUAUAAGCUCGCCAGAAGUUCCAUUUUCGAACGUCUUAAAAGUUACCAUCGCAUCAAAACAGGAAAUAUCAUAUCAUAUCUAUCAGGAUAACACUUUUAAACCAAUUUUAGUCGCUGACCUUUGUGUAGAAGUCUGGCGGUGAAUAUGAAUCAAAAUGUGUGUGACUGAAAUCUAAUCGCCAUCCAUCUCCCAAAUACACGCUUACCUGUGGAAAAAAUGAUUAAGCUGUAAUUAAUAUAAGUCAUCGGGCGGUUGGAGUUUGCAAUAGCCACUGUCAGAAAGGUGCUCACCUUUAAAGUUUUCUUAACUGGCAAUUUUACUUUAGGAUCAAAUAGCUCAUUCCGCGGUCCCCUUUUCAUGAGAAAGUCAGGCUUCUUAACGUAACCGCAACCUCCAUUAGAUCCGAACAACCCAUGCAUCAACCAAAGUGAUUUUCCAUACCCCUGUUUGUUUGGGUUAAGAAAGAAAAUGAUUUCACUAAAUCCGUUGGUGAAAAGAAUCCUCAACUAAGAUGAAUACAUGCCGACACAAAUGUGGUAAUCAUAAUCAAAUUAUGAAAGUCGAUUGCUUGCUUGUGUACUGUUUCUGUGAUGCAUGUUACCAUUGAUGCAACAGAAGUCAUUGAUGGUUUAUCCCUCGCACAAACUGCUUGUCCAUGCUGACAUGUGAGCAUGGAGCAGUGUAUAGAUGCUGUAUUAGCAGAUUUGCAUGACAUUCUACUUGGAUCACUAUUUACGACAAAGACAAUAAGGAUUUCUGGAAAUGCCAGAGAAGUUAAUUCAAUAAAACUUUUAAUGUAAUUAAACUGCCGGGAAGUGUUAUGUUUAAGAUAAGGACAGUGAAUGAGUGCAUGACCAAGCUCGGAUUGCCAUUCCAGGAGUUUAGGAACACAAGAUUUGAAAACUGACCUGCAUAUUGAAUGCAAGCAUUUGAGCUCCAUGCGUCCAGCCAACUAAAGGGUGAAAAUUGGACGAGGUUACUCUUGUUCCCUUUGGAAACACCCUCAGAAUAUUCUUCUGUGUAAACCUAGAAUUCAAAACUGAAUUCAGCUAAAACAAAAUGUUGGUAGAAGACCAGAUGGGACAGCUAUUGUGAACGUCAAAAGCAAUCUAGCAAUCUUCAACUUUUACUUCAAGUGAAUACCUCACAACAUCAGUUCCAUAUAAAGAUGCAGCCCUUUCAAGGUCUUGUUCAGUCAAACUAAGACGCUUAACUUUGUCCAGCCCAGUUACUAAUGCGUGCCUCAACCCCUGUUUUGCCUUCCCAGCAUGAAUAGCAAUGAGACGCUUGUACUCCGGUGCUGCUAGUUGGGAUGAUUUUUGGUUUUGGAUGUCUCCAUCUUCAUCAUCUGGAUCACUAUCGUACUGAAAUCAUAAACCAAUAAACAUUGCAGAUGAAAUUUUGAGUAAUAUUCAACGGAUGACAAGAAAGAUUCUAUGAAAUGUACCUUUGGGUCGCCCUCCAACGUAUCCUUCAUAAAAAAAUCAUCUUCAGAAGAAUCCUUUUCCGCAGGUGAAGAAGUUCCUUCUUUCUGAUUCUUUAUUUCAAGGUACUCUUUUGGUGGUUUGGUUGAAAGAAUUAUUCGAUGCUUCAAUGCUUCCGGAGAGGGAAAUUCUUCUAAGCAUCCCGACUCCGGGUAAUACAGCAUUUCUCCAAAAAUUUGAAUUACCAUCUAGAAGCAGAUAGGUUAUAUCAGUUGCAAUGUUGAUGUUUUCUCAGUCUUAAAAAAAAAGGAAGAACAAAUAGCGAGAAACUCCAACCUCUGCAACUUUAGCCUGAAGGUCCGGAGUGAGGUGAUCCUCCAAAGUAAUUAUUACAGGGUAGGGAGAUUUGACAAAAGCAUGCUCCCUAAUAGACUUCAAGCAUUUAAUGAGUGGCACUGGAGUGGUCAGCGUCCUGAAAAUGAUCAACAAGGUUAAAUUUUCUUACAUUGCCAUUUCCGGUAAGAGAAAAUUUAGAAGUGUCCCUAAAAAUAGACGCAGCAAAAUUGAAAUGUGAAUAUAUAUCAGACAAAUAGUUUCUGGCACAGAUUUCUAAAUGUGGACAACUAGAGCAAAGCAAAUGAUAGAGAAACCCAUGCUGGUUAUUUUGGGAACACGAGAAGAUAUUUGCCUAUUUAUGCAAUUACAUUACAGAUUAGAAAAUUUAUUUUAUUUUUCUUGAAAAUUUGUCAGACAGCUUAUACUGAUGUAAAACUCAUCUCACCUUCAGUGUAGUUUUAACUGGUAAUUUGGCUUUAGGGUCAAAAAUCUCAUUACCAGUCUUCAAUAAGAUAUCUGGUUUUCUAACAUAUCCACAGCCACCAUUGGCCCUGAACAUUCCACGCAUCACCCAGAGUGAUCUUCCAUAACCCUGUUGAAGAAAAUUGUCACUGAAAAUUUCCUUGAAAUAGACUUUGGCCUAAUUACUAUAAAUUAAAAUGAAAGGUGCCAAUAAAUUUACAUUGUAAUAUGCCAACAUCGAAGAACAAUAUGACAAUCAAGAUAAAAUGAUAACCUGCAUGUUUAGUGCGACCAUCUGUGCCCCAUGCAUCCAUCCAAUGAGGGGAUUGUAAUUAGAUGAGUCAAAACGUAUUCCCUUUGGGUAUACUCUCAACAAGUUCCUCUGAGUAAAACUGAAAGAGGAAUAUAGAAAAGCCUGGACAGCUUAUUAAUUGGAAAUGAUUACUUAAUUCAAGCGCAAGGUCAAGAAUUGAAGCCUAAAGAGAGGUAUUAUGGAUUAUGUUGUCGAUUGGAGCAUCAAUGCAGCAAGAUUCAAGGAUGAAACAGUACAUUUUACAGGGCCUAGAUGAUCGAACUACAUACCAUGACUAUAAAACCCCAUUAAUGAAGGCAAAAUAAGCUGAAUACAUGUGUAUCUGAGUAUCCAGCAAGAACAAUUGUUCUAACUAUGACGAUCUAUAGUAAUCAGGAUGACAUCUCUCAGGAUUACUUUUAUACCAUUUACAAUGCAGGGAAACCCCUAGAGAAGUCAAGCAAAAGCUACUGCACGAAGUAUGCACUGGUUGUAUGUUGUAGACAAAGUAACAUGAUCAACAUAGUACCUUAUAAUUUCUUUUGCAUGAGUUACAGCAGCCUUCUCAAGUUCUAGCUCACUUAAACUAAGGCGUCUCACUUUGUUAGGAUCGAGCCUCAGCCAAUCAUCCAGUCCACCCUUUCCCUUUCCAGCAUGGAUUGCAAUCAAACGUUUAUAUUCUGGGACUGCAAUUUGCUGAGACUUGCGAUCUACUUCAUCAUCGUCAUCGUCCUCAUGAGCUUCCUCUUCAUUGAGAUCAUCCUGCAACAAACAGCUUAUGUAGAAAAGUUUAAAUUGAAAACAACGCACGAAGCUGUAACUCAAAUUGUGAUUAUCAGUUAAGUAAUUGGAAUGUUCAGUCAGACCUCAUCAUUGGUCCUAGAUUUAUUAAUUGAGAUUUCUCUUCCCCAAGGUUCUGCUUCAGCUGAUUGUUUUCCUUCCUUCACUUCAUUCUGUUCUCCACUAAGGUCUUUUGCCUCUAAGUACUCCUUAGGUGGUUUAGUUGAUAUCAUAACCUUUCUUUUCAAGGAUUCUGGCGAGGGAAACUCUCUUAGACCGUCUGAUCCAGGUACGAACAGCAUAUCUCCAAAUGUUUCAUUAAUCAUCUAAGAUUUUUUAGACAUUGCAAAUGUUAGCAGUAGAGCAAUGAAAGUACUAG
rnacentral:lncRNA from 1 species